UGUUCCCACCUCUUCUCGGCCCCUCAUUCCUCCUCACAGGUGGAAUUUCCACCAAGGCUCAGCCAUGCGGAUCUUCCAACUGCUCUUUGCAAUCGUGGUCACGCUCCUCCUCCAGGAUAUUCCCGUCAGAGGCCUUUCGGACAGCCAGCAGUGUCGGAGCAACCGCGGCCACUGCCGGAGGCUCUGCUUCCAUAUGGAGCGCUGGGCUGGGAGCUGCAGCAACGGUCGCCAGCGCUGCUGCCGAUGAACACGGCCGCGCCGGGGGG